rnacentral:rRNA from 1 species
GACGAACGCUGGCGGCGUGCCUAAUACAUGCAAGUAGAACGCACAGUUUAUACCGUAGCUUGCUACACCAUAGACUGUGAGUUGCGAACGGGUGAGUAACGCGUAGGUAACCUGCCUGGUAGCGGGGGAUAACUAUUGGAAACGAUAGCUAAUACCGCAUAAUAUUAAUUAUUGCAUGAUAAUUGAUUGAAAGAUGCAACUGCAUCACUACCAGAUGGACCUGCGUUGUAUUAGCUAGUAGGUGAGGUAACGGCUCACCUAGGCGACGAUACAUAGCCGACCUGAGAGGGUGAUCGGCCACACUGGGACUGAGACACGGCCCAGACUCCUACGGGAGGCAGCAGUAGGGAAUCUUCGGCAAUGGACGAAAGUCUGACCGAGCAAUGCCGCGUGAGUGAAGAAGGUUUUCGGAUCGUAAAGCUCUGUUGUAAGAGAAGAACGGGUGUGAGAGUGGAAAGUUCACACUGUGACGGUAUCUUACCAGAAAGGGACGGCUAACUACGUG